AGCCACAGCCAUAUCACCCUGCAGCCCAAGACCGGUUACUCACUGAAGCUAAGCAGGGCUGAGCCUGGUUAGUACCUGGAUGGAAGACCACUAGGGAACACUAGGUUGCUGUUGGAA
rfam:Danio rerio chromosome 6, GRCz11 reference primary assembly.